rnacentral:tRNA from 1 species
UCCCUUGUAGCUCAGUUGGUAAAGAAUCUGCCUACAGUGCAGGAGACCUGGGUUCGAUUCCUGGGUGGGGAA